rnacentral:rRNA from 1 species
GACAGAGGGUGCAAACGUUGUUCGGAAUUACUGGGCGUAAAGCGCGUGUAGGCGGCCAACUAAGUCGGAUGUGAAAUCCCCAGGCUCAACUUGGGAACUGCAUCCGAUACUGGAUGGCUUGAAUUCGGGAGAGGGAUGCAGAAUUCCAGGUGUAGCGGUGAAAUGCGUAGAUAUCUGGAGGAAUACCGGUGGCGAAGGCGGCAUCCUGGACCGACAUUGACGCUGAGGAGCGAAAGCUAGGGGAGCAAACGGG